rnacentral:rRNA from 1 species
GUCUAUGGCCAUGCCACCCUGAACACGCCCGAUCUCGUCUGUUCUCAGAAGCUAAGCAGGGUUGGGCCUGGUUAGUACUUGGAUGGGAGACCAACCACCUAGGAAUACCGGGUGCUGUAGGUU